rnacentral:rRNA from 1 species
AGUGAACGCUGGCGGUAGGCCUAACACAUGCAAGUCGAACGGCAGCACAGUAAGAGCUUGCUCUUACGGGUGGCGAGUGGCGGACGGGUGAGGAAUACAUCGGAAUCUACUUUUUCGUGGGGGAUAACGUAGGGAAACUUACGCUAAUACCGCAUACGACCUACGGGUGAAAGCAGGGGAUCUUCGGACCUUGCGUGAUUGAAUGAGCCGAUGUCGGAUUAGCUAGUUGGCGGGGUAAAGGCCCACCAAGGCGACGAUCCGUAGCUGGUCUGAGAGGAUGAUCGGCCACACUGGAACUGAGACACGGUCCAGACUCCUACGGGAGGCAGCAGUGGGGAAUAUUGGACAAUGGGCGCAAGCCUGAUGCAGCCAUGCCGCGUGGGUGAAGAAGGCCUUCGGGUUGUAAAGCCCUUUUGUUGGGAAAGAAAAGCAGCAGGUUAAUACCCCGCUGUUCUGACGGUACCCAAAGAAUAAGCACCGGCUAACUUCGUG